CACAUUCUUUCUUGACUCUUUAUAUGAUUGCUAGAUAACACAGUUUCUUCUCUUGGCCUUCAAACUUUGAUAGACUGUUCAACAUAAUGCCUAUAACAACGAUCCUUAUGCAAAGGAGUUUGGGAUAAAUGUUAGUGAAAAGAUGACUUCUGUUGAAGCUAGAAUUCUUCCUCCUCCAUGGCUGAAAUACCAUGAUACUGGAAAAGAGAAGGAUUGCUUGCCUCAAGUGGGUCAAUGGAAUAUGAUGAA